rnacentral:rRNA from 1 species
UAGUUGGCCGGUGCUUCUUCUGUACCUACCGUCACUUGCGCUUCGUCGGUACUGAAAGAGGUUUACAACCGAAGGCCGUCAUCCCUCACGCGGCGUUGCUGGAUCAGGCUUCCGCCCAUUGUCCAAUAUUCCC